rnacentral:rRNA from 1 species
UACGAAGGGGGCUAGCGUUGCUCGGAAUUACUGGGCGUAAAGCGCUCGUAGGCGGUUUGUUAAGUCGGGGGUGAAAUCCUGGAGCUCAACUCCAGAACUGCCUUCGAUACUGGCGAUCUCGAGUUCGGGAGAGGUGAGUGGAACUGCGAGUGUAGAGGUGAAAUUCGUAGAUAUUCGCAAGAACACCAGUGGCGAAGGCGGCUCACUGGCCCGAUACUGACGCUGAGGUGCGAAAGCGUGGGGAGCAAACAGG